rnacentral:tRNA from 1 species
GUUGUCGUGGCCGAGUAGUUGCGGCGAUAGACUCGAAAUCUUUUGGUAUUUUUACCGCGCAGGUUCGAAUCCUGCGACAGCC